rnacentral:sRNA from 1 species
UCAAGUAGUGGUAUUUGACGCUCAUAC